rnacentral:lncRNA from 1 species
CAGUUCUGCAGCCCCCUGCGCUGCUGUCCUGCCCUCUCUUGGUUUGUGCUGCUGGGAUAUGAGAGCACAUGCACUUCUGGUCACAGAGCGGGCAACAGAGCAGAGGAGCUGGUUCCAACUUUUGCACAUUGCAUUAUUGUGGGAGACAAUUAAUUUCUUUGUUUUUUUUUCAGUAUGGCUGUAAGCAUAACCUGCGCUAGGAAAUGUUUGACCAACUUCCUAAUUAUCUUUCUACCAAAACUACUGUGGUGUGAAUUUAGAUCAACUUUUGGACAGGAAGCAAAGAGCCAACUUGCCAUCUCCCCAAGGAUGCAUACGAGCUGCUGGGGGUCCUGGCAGUUCCACUGGGUUCUGCAUGUGGCACCAGGCACUCCUGCAGCACAGUUGAAGGUUGGAGCAGCUGGAGGAUGGUGACGUGGGGGGGCCCUGAAGCCAGACGGGCUCAGGAGUGCGUUAUGCAGUGUGUCCUUUCUCCUGGCAGGCUCUGUGUCCUCAGGCAUCCUCUGACCCGAGCGGAGGGGCAGCACUACUUGGCCCAUUCUGGAAGGGCUGUCGUUGUCCCCUGCUCUGCUGUGCUGCUCACUGACAUGCUCGUUUCCAGCCUUACACCUAAUGACCUGUGAGGAAGGCUGUGAUGCCAGUCCUGCUGGCCCUUCCAGGCUGAGCAGCUGCUGAAUUGUUCCAUGCUUUGUUCUGAAGGCCAGGAAGACCCCCUUUGUGCUGUGCUGCCCCAGGAAGUCAGCCACAGGGACCCAAAGCCCUGGGAUCCGUGCUGCAAGUUAAGGCCCAGCACUGCUCCAUGCUUAGGAGGUGCUGAGGGAUGGACAGAGGUACUGUGGAUAAUUGAAGUAUUUAGCUACUGAUUGCCCUGUGCUUUCUUAUGUCUGUGCAGGUGGUGACUUGCAGCACACCGUCCUCCUGUGCUCCGGCUCUGCAUCCCAGCCUGGCUGCAGCCACCUGGCUCUCCUCCCCUGCACACCGGGCUUACUGCUGAUGCACGUUCCUUUCCUGCAGGUGAGGGCUCCGUCCCAG